ACACACACACACACACACGAAUGUCUUGCAGGCUAAGGUCUUGAUAAUAUAAUAAUGGCUAACACCAGUCCUGUUUUUAUUCAAACCAUGAGGCUAUCUCAGCUGGUCUUCAGUAUACAUUGUCUGGAAUCCUGAAGAAAGAAGCUGUAAUGCUUGUAAAGGAAUGAAUUGGAUAUCAAGAGAAGAGCAAGGACAAGCAAGCAAAGAAGAAAGAACUUCCUUCUUGCAUGUUCUAUCUACAGGCUGACACAAGAGGUUUUGGCUCAAAUUAAAGAUCAUACCUCUAUAAGUGAAAUCCUGUAUGUAUAUGUUUCAUACAAUUGGAAGAAAAUCGCUGCAAUGUAAAAAUGAAUAUGAGCUAUAUUGAGAGGUGAGAAAUGUACAAGAUUUUGGAAUGGAAGGAGAGUGUGCUUAGUACUCAGUAUAUACUUCAAGAUAUACCUUGUCCAGUUAAUUAAAAACUCAAAAAUAAUUAUAGCACA